rnacentral:rRNA from 1 species
CCUACGGGAGGCAGCAGUGGGGAAUAUUGGACAAUGGGCGCAAGCCUGAUCCAGCCAUGCCGCGUGAGUGAUGAAGGCCUUAGGGUUGUAAAGCUCUUUUGUCCGGGACGAUAAUGACGGCACCGGAAGAAUAAGCCCCGGCUAACUUCGUGCCAGCAGCCGCGGUAAU